CUUCUAUGAUGUCAUCAGUGGCUGGGUAAGAUGGGGGAAAGCAGUGGAUGUUGCGUACCUUGACUUCAGCAAGACAUUUUAGACUGUCUUCCACAACAUCCUGGUUAUGAAACUUAGAAAAUGUGAGAUAGGAAAGACGUGGACAUAUUCAAGCAACUCCAGUGAAGAGCCAUGAAGAUGAUUAAGGUUCUGGGACAUCUGGCAUACAAAUUGAGGCUGAGAGAGCCUGAACUAUUUAGCCUCAAGGUGAAGAAUUGUGAGGUGUUGGUAGAAUCUUAUUCAUAUACGUAAAUAUCUGAUAGAAGGAAGUGAAGAAGAUAAAACCAGACUUCUGAGUGAAGUGUUCACAAACUGAAAAACAGGGAAUUUCCUUUAAAGACGGGGAAAGGCUUUUUAACGUGUAAUAUUGAAGACACAACAAGUUGGCAAUGCUGAAAACGAACCAGCCUGUGGGUUGCUACGGAUGUUAGCUGAGAGCACUGAAAAGGAACUGAAGAGGAGUCACAAAAGCUUUGUCGUCUAAAUAUUCAGCUGACAAAGAGACUUGAGACACACAUACAGGAAACUUGUGGAACUCCGGCUCCAUGAGCAGAAACAAGAACUAGGUUUCCUUACUGUCCUGAUGUGAACACAGUUUAAACAUUUAUAUACUGCUAAUGUGUGUAUAUACACAAACAAGCUUACGGUAAAGAACUGUGUAAUUUGAGUUUGUUUCAAUUAUAGUUAGUUCAGAGCUCAUCAGUAUAUGUGAUUUCACAAAGUGAUAAUUUAAACUAUUAAAUUAUCACUCUGUUCCUCAUUGAAAGUGAUA